rnacentral:rRNA from 1 species
UUCCGGUUGAACCUGCCGGACCCCACUGCUAUCGGGAUGGGACUAGGACAUGCUAGUCGAGCGUCUCCAAGCUAUGGAAGAGACGCGGCACACAGCUCAGUAACACGUGGCUAACCUGCCCUUGGGACAAGGACAACUCCGGGAAACUGGGGCUAAUCCCUGAUAAGUGAGAACUCCUGGAAUGGAUUCUCGCUCAAAGGACGUUUAGACCAUGCUUCUAGGCGUCGCCCAAGGAGGGGGCCGCGACCGAUCAGGUUGUUGGUGAGGUAACGGCUCACCAAGCCUUUAACCGGUACGGGCCGUGAGAGCGGGAGCCCGGAGAUGGGCACUGAGACAAGGGCCCAGGCCCUACGGGGCGCAGCAGUCGCGAAAACUCCGCAAUACACGAAAGUGUGACGGGGCUAUCCCGAGUGCCAUCCGCUGAGGAUGGCUUUUCCCCAGUGUAUAAAGCUGGGGGAACAAGGAGAGGGCAAGCCUGGUGUCAGCCGCCGCGGUAAUACCAGCUCUCCGAGUGGUGGGGAUGUUUAUUGGGCCUAAAGCAUUCGUAGCCUGCUUGGCAAGUCCUCCGUUAAAUCCAACGAUUCAAUCGUUGGGCUGCGGGGGAUACUGUCCAGCUAGGGGGCGGGAGAGGCCGACGGUAUCCCCGGGGUAGGGGUGAAAUCCUAUAAUCCCGGGAGGACCACCAGUGGCGAAGGCUGUCGGCUAGAACGCGCUCGACGGUGAGGGAUGAAAGCUGGGGGAGCGAACCGGAUUAGAUACCCGGGUAGUCCCAGCUGCAAACGAUGCAGGCUAGGUGUUGGCGCGGCUACGUGCCGCUCCAGUGCCGCAGGGAAGCCGUUAAGCCUGCCGCCUGGGAAGUACGGCCGCAAGGCUGAAACUUAAAGGAAUUGGCGGGGGAGCACCACAAGGUGUGAAGCUUGCGGUU